rnacentral:rRNA from 1 species
UACGUAGGGGGCUAGCGUUGUCCGGAAUCAUUGGGCGUAAAGCGCGCGUAGGCGGCCCGGUAAGUCCGCUGUGAAAGUCAAAGGCUCAACCUUUGAAUGUCAGCGGAUACUGCCGGGCUAGAGUCCGGAAGAGGCGAGUGGAAUUCCUGGUGUAGCGGUGGAAUGCGCAGAUAUCAGGAGGAACACCAACGGCGAAGGCAGCUCGCUGGGACGGUACUGACGCUGAGGCGCGAAAGCGUGGGGAGCAAACAGG